rnacentral:snRNA from 14 species
ACGUUCAGCAUGGCCCCUGCGCAAGGAUGACACACAAAUUCGUGAAGCGUUCCAUAUAUAU